GGGGAUUUAGCUCAGCGGCAUAAGCACCUGCCUUGUGAGCAGGCGGUUGUGAGUUCAAUCCCUG
rnacentral:tRNA from 1 species